UCCGUGACAUCUAAAGGCAAAAGAUAUGUCUACCGUAAAGCUUGCAAUGACCUUGAAACACAUCACCAGUCAUUAUUUUGAAGCUUGCGUGACCUUAACGUGGCAUGAUAAAGCCUGUAAUGACCUUGGAACGUAUGCGAUAUGGAGAGCUGUGGUCGGGGCGUGGAGUAAUUAAGAGUCAGGGAUGAGGCGAAGGGACCACCUCACCUCGGCACCUGACUGACAUAUCCUGGAGCUGAGGGUUACCUGAGCCGAGACUUGGCAGACUUCUUUAAACAAGGACAAAAGAAUAAAGAAGAAAGAAAAGAAGAGCAGC